UCGCACUUUCUGGAAACAGAGAGGUCAGUUCGGCUGGAUCGGUGACAGGUGCUGCAUGGCUGUCGUCAGCUCGUGUCGUGAGAUGUUGGGUUAAGUCCGCAACGAGCGCAACCCUCGUCCUUAGUUGCCAGCAUUAAGUUGGGCACUCUAAGGAGACUGCCGGUGUUAACCGGAGGAAGGCGGGGAUGACGUCAAGUCCUCAUGGCCCUUAUGUCCAGGGCUACACACGUGCUACAAUGGCCGGUACAAAGGGUAGCAAGACCGCGAGGUGGAGCCAAUCCCAAAAAGCCGGUCUCAGUUCGGAUUGGAGUCUGCAACUCGACUCCAUGAAGUUGGAAUCGCUAGUAAUCGUGGAUCAGCAUGCCACGGUGAAUACGUUCCCGGGCCUU
rnacentral:rRNA from 1 species